rnacentral:tRNA from 1 species
GCCGCCUUAGCUCAGUUGGUAGAGCACGUCAUUCGUAAUGACGGGGUCAGGUGUUCGAGUCACCUAGGCGGCACCA